rnacentral:rRNA from 1 species
CCGACUGCUAUUUGGGUGAGGAUAAGCCAUGCGAGUUGAAUGGGAAACCUAAAGUUCCCAUGGCAUACUGCUCAGUAACACAUGAUCAACUUACCCUAUAGAGAAAAAUAACCUCGGGAAACUGAGGAUAAUGUUUCAUAGUUGAAUUGGCUUGGAGAAGUUUUUCGACGAAAGGGGUAAAAAAAAUGGUUUUUAUCUGCUAUAGGAUAGGAUCGUGUUCGAUUAUGGUUGUUGGUGAGGUAAUGGCUCACCAAGCCGAUAAUCGAUAGGGGCCGUGAGAGCGGGAGCCCCGAGAUGGGUACUGAGACAACGACCCAGGCCUUACGAGGCGCAGCAGGCGCGAAACCUCCGCAAUACACGAAAGUGUGACGGGGUUACCCAAAGUGUUCAAUUUUGAACUGUGGUAGGUGAGUAAUGUUCCCUGCUAGAAAGGAGAGGGCAAGGCUGGUGCCAGCCGCCGCGGUAAAACCAGCUCUUCAAGUGGUCGGGGUAAUUAUUGGGCUUAAAGUGUCCGUAGCCGGUUUGGUAAGUUCCUGGUAAAAUCGGGUAGCUUAACUAUCUAUAUGCUAGGAAUACUACUAUACUAGAGGGCGGGAGAGGUCUGAGGUACUACAGGGGUAGGGGUGAAAUCUUAUAAUCCUUGUUGGACCACCAGUGGCGAAGGCGUCAGACUGGAACGCGCCUGACGGUGAGGGACGAAAGCCAGGGGAGCGAACCGGAUUAGAUACCCGGGUAGUCCUGGCCGUAAACGAUGCAUACUAGGUGAUGGCACGGCCAUGAGCCGUGUCAGUGCCGUAGGGAAACCGUUAAGUGUGCCGCCUGGGAAGUACGGUCGCAAGGCUAAAACUUAAAGGAAUUGGCGGGGGAGCACCACAAGGGGUGAAGCCUGCGGUUCAAUUGGAUUCAACGCCGG